GAGACCGCGCAGGGCAUGCACCUGUUCAAGAUCGAUGGCUACAGCCUGUGCAGGGGCCUCGGCGUCGGCAAGUCCAUCCGGUCCACCACCUUCCGCGUCGGCGGCCACGACUGGUGCGUCUACUUCUACCCCGACGGCGUCAACGAGGACAGGAAGGACUACGUCUCAGUCUUCCUCGAGCUCAAGACCCAGAACGCAGAGGCGAGGGCGCUCCACCAUAUGAGGUACGAGCCGCUGGUGUUUAACUCUACUGAUAACUUGUUAGACUGUAUUUACAUAUAGCUUCUGUAUAUGUCUUGUAUAUUGAGGACGGAGCUGUGGUCGUACAUUCUGGAGGACACCCUUAUCCUCGAGUGCAAUCUUGCCGUCAUCGAGUUGAAGGAUGCACAAGAGGCUGAUGUCAAGGUUAACUUCGAGGCCCAGGCGCUGCCGUCCGAAUUGGUUGAUAACCUUAGCAGCUUGCUGGAGGCUACGGAGGGAUCCGAUGUGUCUUUCAAGGUCAAGGAGGAGGUUUUCCCAGCUCAUAAGAUCAUCCUCGCAAUGCGGUCGCCGGUCUUCAGGGUGAAGUUCUACGGCCCGAUGAGGGAUGAGAAUAGCCGCAGCAUAACCGUCGAAGACAUGCAGCCCGCUGUUUUCAGAGGACUGCUUCACUUCAUCUACACUGAUUCGUUGCCUCCAUUGGAUUACCUGGAUGACGAUGAGUAUGAAGAAAUGCUUAGGCAUUUGCUGGUGGCCGCAGAUAGGUACGCCAUGGAAAGGAUGAAGUACAUGUGCGAGAUCAAACUUUGUGAGGUUCUUCAUACCGGGACUGUUGCGACCACCUUAGCUUUAGCCGACCAGCAUCAUUGCAGCAAGCUCAAAGAUGCAUGCAUUGGAUUCAUCAACUCUUCAAAUAGAAUGGUUGGUGUGAUGGCAAGUAAGGGGUAUGAGUCCCUGAAAAGGACAUGUUCUUCUCUCAUUGCUGAUAUAUUGGAGAAAGCAGCUAAGACUCGCAGAAUUUAG
rnacentral:rRNA from 1 species